UACGGAGGGGGCUAGCGUUGUUCGGAAUUACUGGGCGUAAAGCGCGCGUAGGCGGACCUGCAAGUCGGGGGGGAAAGCCCGAGGCUCAACCUCGGAACUGCCUUCGAUACUGCGGGUCUCGAGUCCGGAAGAGGUGAGUGGAACUCCGAGUGUAGAGGUGAAAUUCGUAGAUAUUCGGAAGACCCCCAGUGGCUAAGGCGGCUCACUGGUCCGGUACUGACGCUGAGGUGCGAAAGCGUGGGGAGCAAACAGG
rnacentral:rRNA from 1 species